AGACGAAGAAGACGAAGAAGAAGACGACAGUCGUCAGCCGUCAGCCAUCCCUGGUCAGCUUCUCCUCAAAGUUAAGAAAAUUUCUCAGGACACAACUUUGUACUGAAGAUUCAGUGCAGAAUUCAAUAAUCCUGUGGAUGGACCGCAGCGAGUCCUUUUGCAUUUGUUUCCAUCAAAAUGAUAUCCAGACAUAAUGGAGAUGACAUUUACAUUGUAGAGCUUGGACAAAGUUCACACAGGCUCUGCAUAGGAAUUCAUCAAGGACAUGACUGCUGGGAUUACGCUUGUGGAUGACCAAUCUGAGCACCAUCAGUCUGCAGUGAUGUGAUCCAGGUAAUAGAAGAAGAAGAAAUCUGGGUGAUCUGGGGUUGUAACACAUUGUGUACUGUGUUAGACGGUCUGGGACUGGGACUAACAGAAAUAAACUAAUUCAGGUUUAAAACAACUUGAGUGUUAUGUGGAGAACGAUGAAAAUACAGUUUGUAUGCGUUAUUUGAGCCCAGGGCUGUGUUAGAGAUCGUAAAAAAACAGAGCGCGAGAGCUCAGCGGAUCACUGCAUGGAUUCAGAAUGGCGGGAAUUAAAAAAAGGACCUGCUCUAAACCUGACAGCAUAAAGACAUCCGUCAGAAUAUACAUCGAUGAUGAAAUUAGGGAAAACAAGAUUACUACUCGAGCUGUGUCUUUUCUGCAUGUUAUAAUGGAAACAAAUGAGCAGCACAGAUGAGCACCUCCCUCAGAGUUCUUCUGGAGCGCGUAACUUAACGUUACAUUUGAUAUCGCUGACAUAAGCUUAGUUCUGAUGAUUUUUUUUACAGUCUACGGUUCAGAUGAAGUUCUGAAGGUAGCGUUACAAACUCUUCUUUCAGUUUUCUGAAGUAACGUUAGUCAUUCAAGUGCCUCAGCAGAACUCGUGCGUGAAUAUCUGUUUUAUACAGUCCAUGGUGAAUAUACGGUCAUAACUUCAUAAGUAAAUUGCAUAUGUUCAAAUCUAUAUAUUUUAGAAUAAAAGUAAUAAUAGCAUAUAUCUUGUAUAAAUAGCCAUACAAUAACGAUCGACACAAAUGGUUACAUUUCCUUUUAUUUUGUUAUAAUUCUGUGUCGUGUCAUUUAAAAGCAUCGUCUGGGUGAUAAAGUUGGGCUUUGGUAAUUUUAAAUUUACAUUUUAAAAUAUCUCAUUUAAAAUUUACUCAAAGUAAAAAUUACUUGGUCACAUUUUAACAGUGGGAGCGAGGCAAAAAUGGGACAGGCCAAGGGUGUCAAACUCAGUUCCUGGAGGGCCACAGUCCUGCACAUUUAAGAUAUAACCCUAAUUCAAUUCAAUUCAAGUUUAUUUGUAUAGCGCUUUUUACAAAACAAAUCGUUACAAAGCAACUUUACAGAAAAUUAUGUUUCUUCAAUAUUUAUUAGUAGCUAGUAGUUUGUGCACAUUUGACAGGAUUUUAGAAAAAAAAAAAUAAUAAUAAUACAAGACGUAGUCGGCUAGACGAUGAACUAUCAAUAUUAUUAAGUUAUUAUAUGAUUCAGUCACACAUUUAGCAAUAAUUGUUAGUUCUGUUUGUUGAUUAGGGGUUAGCAUCAUCUGAGGUCCUCUGAGGGUCAGCAUCAUCUCUUUUCAGGUGUUCUGGAUCCAGACUGGAGCUUGUGUAAAUCCUAGUUAACACGGGAUGUAAAUCCCGUGGCGAAACAUAGAAACAAAAUACAGACAUCAUUAGCAUAGCUGCUGAUCCAACAAAGUAAAAUUAGUUUAACCCAAGCUAAUGAAUAAAAAAGCACCUUUGAUCAGAUGCAACUACACUCACAAUUAAAAAAAAACAUUAUUCGAAUGCACUGUAAAACCGAACAGUGAAAUUAAUCAAAUUAAAUUAGUUAAUUGCACUCAAAUAAUAACGAAAGUUCAUUGGACUUAAUUUAAAUAAGUUCUGUUAACUCAAAAAUUUGUUGUAGUGAGGUGAACUUAAAAUGAUUGUGUUUUCUAGUCCCCAGCAUGCUUU